UUGCUUCGGCAGCAAAUAUACUAAAAUUGGGAUGAUACAGAGAAUAUCAGCAUGGCCCCUGCAAAAGAAUGACAAGUAAAUUAUUAAAAUCCUGCCAUUUUUU